GUUUUGGUCUAUUUUUCUUAAACUAUAAGCAAUCGGUCAACUAUAUAUGUUGUAUAGAAGCAUUGUUAGCUGUACAUGUCUGCCUGGCAUGGUUCAUCUGACCUUGACCUCAUUUUCAAGGUUCAUUGGUCUAUGUUUAGUUAUCUUGGUUAAUGUUAAGUUUAUGUGAAAAUUGUUAUAAAGCUUAGCUUUAUACUUAAGACUAUCAACAUAAUAUCAAUGAUUAGUAUAGAAGGCGAGACAUUUCAGCGUGUGCACUCUUGUUCAGCUAUGAAUGAAAAAUGAACAUUAAGAGUAUUUACAAUAUCUUGGUUGUUAUAAACAGUUUGAUUUUCAUACUGCAAUUUAGGUGGGAAAAUAUUAUCCUCUUUUGGAUUUAACUCUUUAAUAUGAUUCCAAAGUUCUUUACUAUUUUUGGAACUAGUUACAGCGUUUUGGUAAUAUUCCUUUUUUGCAUUAAAUAUUAACGACGUUGUUUUAUUACGCCACUUUUUAAAGUUUA
rnacentral:lncRNA from 1 species